AUGAACGCUGGCGGCGUGCCUAAUACAUGCCAGUCGAGCGAACGGACGAGAAGCUUGCUUCUCUGAUGUUAGCGGCGGACGGGUGAGUAACACGUGGAUAACCUACCUAUAAGACUGGGAUAACUUCGGGAAACCGUAGCUAAUACCGGAUAAUAUUUUGAACCGCAUGGUUCAAAAGUGAGAGACGGUCUUGCUGUCACUUAUAGAUGGAUCCGCGCUGCAUUAGCUAGUUGGUAAGGUAACGGCUUACCAAGGCAACGAUGCAUAGCCGACCUGAGAGGGUGAUCGGCCACACUGGAACUGAGACACGGUCCAGACUCCUACGGGAGGCAGCAGUAGGGAAUCUUCCGCAAUGGGCGAAAGCCUGACGGAGCAACGCCGCGUGAGUGAUGAAGGUCUUCGGAUCGUAAAACUCUGUUAUUAGGGAAGAACAUAUGUGUAAGUAACUGUGCACAUCUUGACGGUACCUAAUCAGAAAGCCACGGCUAACUACGUG
rnacentral:rRNA from 1 species